rnacentral:rRNA from 1 species
AAUGAACGUUGGCGGCGUGGAUUAGGCAUGCAAGUCGAGCGAGAACCGUAGCAAUACGGGGACAGCGGCGAAAGGGAGAGUAAUACGUGGAUACCUACCCUCGGGUUCGGGAUAGCUGCGGGAAACUGCAGGUAAUACCGAAUAACAUCUCCGGAUCAAAGGUGUGAUUCCGCCCGGGGAGGGGUCCGCGUCCUAUUAGCUUGUUGGUGAGGUAACGGCUCACCAAGGCGAAGAUGGGUACGGGGUGUGAGAGCAUGCCCCCGCUAACUGGGACUGAGACACUGCCCAGACACCGGCGGGUGGCUGCAGUCGAGAAGCUUCGGCAAUGGGCGCAAGCCUGACCGAGCGACGCCGCGUGCGAGAUGAAGGCCUUCGGGUUGUAAAUCGCUGUCAGUGAGGAGGAAAUGCCAUAGGGUUCUCUCUAUGGUUUGACCUAUCCGCAGAGGAAGGAUGGGCUAAGUUCGUGCCAGCCGCCGCCGUAA